rnacentral:rRNA from 1 species
UACAGAGGGUGCGAACGUUGUUCGGAAUCACUGGGCAUAAAGCGCACGUAGGCGGCACCGCAAGUGUGGGGGUGAAAUCCCACCGGCUUACCCGUGGAACUGCCUGGCAGACUGCGGUGCUAGAGGUUGGUAGGGGAGAGCGGAAACUCUUGGUGGAGCGGUGAAAUGCGUAGAUAUCAAGAGGAACACCGGUGGCGAAGGCGGCUCUCUGGUCCAAUCCAUGACGCUGAGGUGCGAAAGCUAGGGGAGCAAACGGG